UACGUAGGGACCGAGCGUUGUCCGGAAUCAUUGGGCGUAAAGAGCGUGUAGGCGGCCACUUAAGUCCUGCGUGAAAUCUUGCGGCUCAACCGCAAGCGGUCGUGGGAAACUGGGUGGCUAGAGUGCGGGAGAGGAGAGUGGAAUUCCUGGUGUAGCGGUGGAAUGCGCAGAUAUCAGGAAGAACACCCGUGGCGAAGGCGGCUCUCUGGAACGCAACUGACGCUGAGGAGCGAAAGCCAGGGGAGCAAACGGG
rnacentral:rRNA from 1 species